AUGAGGCUCAGUGGAGGCACGAAUAGUUUCUUCCACUUGCACAAUCUGAAAAUUCUGAACCAUGGCUAGUAAAAGGAAGACAAGACUGGCAACUUCCACUCACAUGAGUAACUUCAUUGGAACUGGUCGAGAAAUGCUGCCUUCUGAACUCCCAACUCUGCGUGAUGUUCUAAGAUAUGGCCUUCUGCUAAGAGAGCAGAGUGGAGAGAAUGUCAGAAAUUACCCAGCAGCCACUCUUGCAAAGGAUAUUUAUCCAAAAGGGCUUGAAAAGUGGGAGCUAGCAAACAGUUGUUUUGUGGUGCCAAUUUUAAAUUUUAG